rnacentral:rRNA from 1 species
UACGGGGGGGGCAAGCGUUGUUCGGAAUUACUGGGCGUAAAGGGCUCGUAGGCGGCCAACUAAGUCGGACGUGAAAUCCCCAGGCUCAACCUGGGAACUGCGUCUGAUACUGGAUGGCUUGAAUCCGGGAGGGGGAUGCAGAAUUCCAGGUGUAGCGGUGAAAUGCGUAGAUAUCUGGAGGAACACCGGUGGCGAAAGCGGCUCACUGGACCAUAUCUGACGCUGAGGUGCGAAAGCUAGGGUAGCAAACGGG